AAACCAACCGGGAUUGCCUCAGUAACGGCGAGUGAAGCGGCAAAAGCUCAAAUUUGAAAUCUGGCACUUUCAGUGUCCGAGUUGUAAUUUGUAGAAGUAGUUUUGGGACUGGUCCUUAUCUAUGUUUCUUGGAACAGGACGUCAUAGAGCGUGAGAACCCCGUAUGAUGAGGCCCCCAGUCCUUUGUAAAACGCUUUCGAAGAGUCGAGUUGUUUGGGAAUGCAGCUCUAAGUGGGUGGUAAAUUCCAUCUAAAGCUAAAUAUUGGCGAGAGACCGAUAGCGAACAAGUACAGUGAUGGAAAGAUGAAAAGAACUUUGAAAAGAGAGUGAAAAAGUACGUGAAAUUGUUGAAAGGGAAGGGCAUUUGAUCAGACAUGGUGUUUUGCGCCCUUUGCUCCUUGUGGGCGAGGAUACGCAGCUCACUGGGCCAACAUCAGUUUUGGGAGCAGGAUAAAUCUGUAGGAACGUAGCUUUCUUCGGGAAGUGUUAUAGCCUAUGGGAAUACUGCUACCUGGGA
rnacentral:rRNA from 1 species